rnacentral:piRNA from 1 species
UAAGUAAACUUCUGCCAUUGAGAC